rnacentral:rRNA from 1 species
UACGGAGGGAGCUAGCGUUGUUCGGAAUUACUGGGCGUAAAGCGCACGUAGGCGGCUUUGUAAGUUAGAGGUGAAAGCCCGGGGCUCAACUCCGGAAUUGCCUUUAAGACUGCAUCGCUUGAAUCCAGGAGAGGUGAGUGGAAUUCCGAGUGUAGAGGUGAAAUUCGUAGAUAUUCGGAAGGAACACCAGUGGCGAAGGCGGCUCACUGGACUGGUAUU